GACGAACGCUGGCGGCGUGCUUGACACAUGCAAGUCGAACGGAAAGACCCUGCUUUUGUGGGGUGCUCGAGUGGCGAACGGGUGAGUAACACGUGAGUAACCUGCCCUUGACUUUGGGAUAACUUCAGGAAACUGGGGCUAAUACCGGAUAGGAGCUCCUGCUGCAUGGUGGGGGUUGGAAAGUUUCGGCGGUUGGGGAUGGACUCGCGGCUUAUCAGCUUGUUGGUGGGGUAGUGGCUUACCAAGGCUUUGACGGGUAGCCGGCCUGAGAGGGUGACCGGCCACAUUGGGACUGAGAUACGGCCCAGACUCCUACGGGAGGCAGCAGUGGGGAAUAUUGCACAAUGGGCGGAAGCCUGAUGCAGCAACGCCGCGUGCGGGAUGACGGCCUUCGGGUUGUAAACCGCUUUCGCCUGUGACGAAGCGUGAGUGACGGUAAUGGGUAAAGAAGCACCGGCUAACUACGUG
rnacentral:rRNA from 1 species